rnacentral:misc_RNA from 1 species
CGUAGGUGAACCUGCGGAAGGAUCAUUGUCGGUGACCCGGAAACUCGACCGGCGCACACGUGACAGAACACUGCCGGAGCGGCGGCGUCGCACCGGCCAACCGGCCACCGUCCUCGUGCCGUCUGGUGCGUUGGCUGCGGGCUGAUCACGGCGUGGGGUGACGCCAAGUAACAUUUGAUGCUGAGGCGGCGGCGGCAUGCUCCCGCGAGCCGCAUUGUCGCCGACGCGAAGGAAAACAUGACUCUCGGCAACGGAUAUCUCGGCUCUCGCAUCGAUGAAGAACGUAGCGAAAUACGAUACGUGGUGUGAAUUGCAGAAUCCCGCGAACCAUCGAGUUUUUGAACGCAAGUUGCGCCCGAGGGUCCUGCCCGAGGGCACGCCUGCCUCAUGGGCGUAAUAAGCCCGUCAACGCUCGUGUGUCUUGGCCGUGUUACUUGUGACGGGCCUGGCCAGAUGCGGAUGAUGGCCCUCCGAGCCAGAGUGCACGGUGGGCCGAAGCGUGCGUUCGUCGGAUGUGGUCGGAGCGGCGAGUGGUGGGUUCCUGCGCACGCCGCCUCGUGCCUCUUUUCCGGCGUUGGGCGCUUUGCUUAGACCCUGUACGAGGAGCUCGUCGUCRGCGCGCCCGACUUCGAGGAACCCUUGGACCAAUACCCC